rnacentral:rRNA from 1 species
GACGAACGCUGGCGGCGUGCCUAAUACAUGCAAGUUGAGCGAUGAAGAUUGGUGCUUGCACCAAUUUGAAGAGCAGCGAACGGGUGAGUAACGCGUGGGGAAUCUGCCUCUGAGCGGGGGACAACAUUUGGAAACGAAUGCUAAUACCGCAUAACAACUUUAAACAUAAGUUUUAAGUUUGAAAGAUGCAAUUGCAUCACUCAAAGAUGAUCCCGCGUUGUAUUAGCUAGUUGGUGAGGUAAAGGCUCACCAAGGCGAUGAUACAUAGCCGACCUGAGAGGGUGAUCGGCCACAUUGGGACUGAGACACGGCCCAAACUCCUACGGGAGGCAGCAGUAGGGAAUCUUCGGCAAUGGACGAAAGUCUGACCGAGCAACGCCGCGUGAGUGAAGAAGGUUUUCGGAUCGUAAAACUCUGUUGGUAGAGAAGAACGUUGGUGAGAGUGGAAAGCUCAUCAAGUGACGGUAACUACCCAGAAAGGGACGGCUAACUACGU